AGCCUCCCAAUGCUUACCACAGGCUGUGUUUUUUACACUGACUAUAGUAAAAGGAGGUACAGUAAAUGCUCUCUAUAUACAUCUCAAACCAGGCCCUUUGCCUGGUCUGUAUUGUGAAUGGGAGACAAAA